AAAGCAGGCAGAAGAAGGUGGAAGGAGCAGACUUGCUGAGUCUUCUGGCCUUCGUCUUCCUUUCGUGCUGGAGCUUCCUGCCCUCGAACAUCAGACUCCAAGUUCUUCAGGUUUUGAACUCUUGGACUUACACCAGCGGCUUGCCACAUGGUCUCAGGCCUUCAACUACAGACUGAAGGAUACCCUGUUGGCUUCCCUACUUUUGCGGUUUUGGGACUCAGACUGGCUUCCUUGCUCCUCAGUUUGCAGUUGGCCUAUCGUGGGACUUCACCUUGUGAUCAUACUCCAGUCACACUGCCUCCUUGUUCUUCCAGCAUAACAUGAAUCUCCAGAUGGGUGCUCCUAUAUGCCGAUUCUGCCUACUUGGAAUGGUAUUUACCAGGUGUCCACAAGGCUUGCUUCCUCACGACCUGCACACAUUUAACUAGCAUACUGCCGUCAGAGGAAGGCCUUUCCAAUAAAAUCUGAUUAAAAUAAAAAUCAUUACACACUCAUCCUGUUUCUAAUUUAUUAUUUCACAGAGCACUAGUUAGCAUCUAAUAUACUAUUUUCCUUGUUUUUCAUUUUGUGUAUUUACAAUUAUUUCCUGGAAAAUGUAAGCUUUGUGAAAUUAGGAGAUGGGGGUUCUUUUGUUCAAUGCUAUCUACCUGACACUUACAAUAGUGCAUCGCACAUGAUAACAGUUCAAAAUUAUUUCUUAAAUGAUUGGAUUGCCUUAGGAUUUUUCUAGUUCUAUAAAUUUUACUUGUACAGUAAAGGGAUAACCCAGUGAGCUUGGUGGGCUCAAACGUUGAAUAUUCCAAACAUAGUGCUGGCCCCUUACUUGUUCCAGGGAGAUAACCUCUGAGCCCUUGGAAUAUUCUGCCUAUAAGAAUGUCUUUGUAUCCUUGAGAAUCUGGGCCAUACCAGAUAGUUCAUGCCAAUAAUGUAACUUUUAGUGUACAGCUGUUUUUGUGUACCUGGGGAUUUGGGCCACUCUGUAUCAGUUUGACCUCUGAUGGGAUGGAGCCAAAUAGAGCAGUUUGGUUAUGUGGGUGCCUCAUGCCUACAAGACUGACUGCCAAUAAAAACCCUGUCCUCAAAACUCAGCUGGGCUUCUCUGUUUGCCAACACUUACGUGUCACCAUACGUCAUUGCUUGGAGAAUUAAAUGGUGCCUGUUUGAUGCCACUAGGGAAGAAUAAUUGAGGGCUUGUACCUGGUUUCUCCUAAAUUCUAUAGGAUAAAUUGUGCACUAUAUACCUUUUUCCUUUGCUGAUUUGCUGAUAAAAUCAGCAAAGGAAAGGGUAUAAAAAAUGUAAGCCACAGGUUUUCACAUAUGAAAUAGAUAUGUAAAUAAUAUACUUAGUAUUUAGUAUGUAGUAUAUUUAUUUAGUAAUUUAGUAUAUGCAUGCAUAUAAAGUAAAAUCAUACCCUACUAUAUUAUUUUGUUUCAUUUAUCUUUUUAUUAUUUACAUAGGCACUAGAAAGAUUAUAUAAUCUAAGUUCCAGAUAGCAAAUACAAAAUGUUCUGCUCAACAUCAGUCUGUUCCAGUCUGUUCAAAAGCCAGGUAGCCGUUAGACCUUUCAGACAGCUUUCAGACAUGUCUAAAAACCCUCUCAGUAAUGCUUACAUUUAAAUUAUUUUUAGGCACAUUAACUUUUGAUCACAAACAAAGCAUAAUUAAGCACUUAUUGUUUUUAAUAAUAUUCAAUUUAGAUAGCACUGCAGAUACUCUAAUUUUCUGUCAUUUCAAGAUAUCUAUGUAAAUUUAGUUAAUUAAAAAAUAAUUUUAAUGCCUCUUGAUUUGCAUUAUAAUUUCUAAAUUAGCUAUUUCCAUUAAACUAUUAUUCAAAUAAUAUUAUACUUUUCCUAAAAAGAGAUAUUAUAUUUUUGGUAUACACAGAUUGAGAAAAGUAGUAUGGAUUUUGAAAAUAAAAUUCUAAAACCCA
ensembl:lncRNA novel transcript